rnacentral:rRNA from 1 species
UGGGGAAUAUUGCACAAUGGGCGCAAGCCUGAUGCAGCCAUGCCGCGUGUAUGAAGAAGGCCUUCGGGUUGUAAAGUACUUUCAGCGGGGAGGAAGGUGUUGUGGUUAAUAACCACAGCAAUUGACGUUACCCGCAGAAGAAGCACCGGCUAACUCCGUGCCAGCAGCCGCGGUAAUACGGAGGGCGCAAGCGUUAAUCGGAAUUACUGGGCGUAAAGCGCACGCAGGCGGUCUGUCAAGUCGGAUGUGAAAUCCCCGGGCUCAACCUGGGAACUGCAUCCGAAACUGGCAGGCUUGAGUCUUGUAGAGGGGGGUAGAAUUCCAGGUGUAGCGGUGAAAUGCGUAGAGAUCUGGAGGAAUACCGGUGGCGAAGGCGGCCCCCUGGACAAAGACUGACGCUCAGGUGCGAAAGCGUGGGGAGCAAACA